AACGAGGCCGACCUGCGGCUGAGUUACCUGCGGAGGGAUCAUUACAGAGUUGCAAAACUCCCUAAACCAUUGUGAACGUUACCUAAACCGUUGCUUCGGCGGGCGGCCCGGGUCCUUCCCGGCGCCCAUCGGCCCUCGCGGGCGCCCGCCGGAGGUAAACCAAACUAUUGCAUUGUAUGGCCUCUCUGAGUCUUCUGUACUGAAUAAGUCAAAACUUUUAACAACGGAUCUCAGAUCGGA
rnacentral:misc_RNA from 1 species